rnacentral:rRNA from 1 species
UGGGGAAUAUUGCACAAUGGGCGCAAGCCUGAUGCAGCCAUGCCGCGUGUUUGAAGAAGGCCUUCGGGUUGUAAAGCACUUUCAGCGGGGAGGAAGGCGAUAAGGUUAAUAACCUUGUCGAUUGACGUUACCCGCAGAAGAAGCACCGGCUAACUCCGUGCCAGCAGCCGCGGUAAUACGGAGGGUGCAAGCGUUAAUCGGAAUUACUGGGCGUAAAGCGCACGCAGGCGGUCUGUCAAGUCGGAUGUGAAAUCCCCGGGCUCAACCUGGGAACUGCAUUCGAAACUGGCAGGCUAGAGUCUUGUAGAGGGGGGUAGAAUUCCAGGUGUAGCGGUGAAAUGCGUAGAGAUCUGGAGGAAUACCGGUGGCGAAGGCGGCCCCCUGGACAAAGACUGACGCUCAGGUGCGAAAGCGUGGGGAGCAAACAGG